rnacentral:rRNA from 1 species
GUUCGCCCUGACACCUUGAGAGGCCUGAAGGAACGUUGAAGACGACGACGUUGAUAGGCCGGGUGUGUAGGCGCAGCGAUGAGUUGAGCUAACCGGUACUAAUGAACCGUGAGGCUUAACCUUACAGCGCCGAAGGUGUUU